GUUGGUUAGUUGGUUGGUUAAACACGUUGGAUAGGGUCAAUUGAAACACGGAAAAAGAAACAAAGAAGAUCUUGGACCCUAUAUUAAACACAUGAGACGGAAAAAUGAUUGAUUGAUCAUGAUCAUGAUUGAUUGAUUGGUUGAUUGAUUGAUUAAUUGAUUAGUUGGUUGGUUGGUUGGUUAAACACGUUAGAUAGGGUAAAUUGAAACACGGAAAAAGAAACAAAGAAGAUCUUGGACCCUAUAUUAAACACAUGAGACGGAAACAUGAUUGAUUGAUCAUGAUCAUGAUUGAUUGAUUGAUUGAUUGAUUGAUUGAUUGAUUGAUUAGUUGGUUGGUUGGUUGGUUGGUUGGUUAAACACAUUGGAUAGGGUCAAUUGAAACACGGAAAAAGACACAAAGAAGAUCUUGGACCCUAUAUUAAACACAUGAGACGGAAACAUGAUUGGUUGAUCAUGAUCAUGAUUGAUUGAUUGAUUGGUUGGUUGGUUUGUUGGUUGGUUGGUUGGUUGGUUGGUUGGACCCUAUAAGAAACACAUGAGACGGAAACAUGAUUGAUUGAUUGAUCAUGAUCAUUAUUGGUUGAUUGAUCAUGAUCAUGAUUGAUUGGAUUGAUUGAUUGAUUAUUUGGUUGGUUGGUUGGUUGGUUGGUGGUGUUGGUUGAAAUUCAAAACACACAUAAAACUGUUUAAAUAGUGCCAAAAACCACAUAAUUUUGAAUGACCUUGACCUUUGACCUUGUGACUUUCGUCAAGGUCAUUGCUCCACAAGGUCAUUGCAAAAGACCCUAUGGGUCAAGGACCUUUUGUUAAAGAGUUUUGCCUAAAAAUGGCUUUUUAAAAACCAUCGAUGGGAGUUAUGUCCCUUACAUGAUGGUUAAAUCAAUAUAGUCAUAAUGUAAAAAAAGUUGCCCCUUGAAGUACCAAGCAUUUUUCACUGCUUAAUAUUUUUGUAUCUAUAACCGUUCAAGAAUUAUAGGGAAAUGAAAAACUUAUAAAAAUCUUAAAAAUGACCUUGACCUUUGACUUGACCUAAUUUUCUAAGUUAGGAAUCAGGGGACUCAAUAAAAAAUUCCAGGGUUAUCGGUUAACGGUUUAUGAGUUAAAAAAACAUACCGACAAAUUAUUCCGAAAUAGAUAACUCCUAUAAAAUUUCUUCGAACGCUUCGAUCCAAAUACGCCAAAAAUUACGAGGAUGUAACGAACAAUUUUGUAAAAAGAAUUUUGUCGCUAUCUUUAUUUGGUCAAAGAGAGUGCACACAAUGGAAACAGUGAGGAGAUAACUCUACAAAGAAAAUAGUUUCCUUAGCAGGGUAAAUUUCAAAAGCGCAUAAACUUCGAUACAUAUAAAAUAUCAAAGCGACAUAUUGCGAACAAACAUUUUGCGCAAGAACAAAAUUGGCGGGAAAAAAAAAAAAAUAAUAAUAAUAAUAAUAAUAAUAAUCAGAACAAAUACAAUAAGUCUUUCCACAGAAAAGUGGAAAGACCUAUAAUAUGGAAAAAAACUGGAGUGUCGUUCGUUUUACGAUUGAUAAAGAUAGAUAGCACACAACCUACAUUUCAGUUGUAAGUGGAGAGGUUAAAAAAAACAGGGGGGGGCAAAAAGGGGUCUCGAUGGAGAUUUUUUUUUUUUAACGGAACAGAAUGGUUAAAAAGAGGUUUUUACAAUAUAAAUCAAUUGCGUUAAACAAGAGAAUUGUCAGGGGGUCAUUUCCCCUUUAAAAUAAUUGAAUUGGGGGAGAGGGGGGUUUGUUUGUUCUGUUUGUAUGUUUGUUUUUUGUUUAGUUGUUUGUUGGUUUGUUCGUUUCUGUAUCGGGUCAUAUUUAUUUGUUACGGAGAGUUUCAUGUUUUAGUUUGGAAAGUUUUUCUUUAUUUUAGGUCAGCGCGCGCGCCACAUCACGUGACACGGGUUUAUAAUAACGAAAAGAUAGUCUUUUUAUUUCUUUUUAGGUGGGGACGUUAAACAGACAACAUCUAUAGAGAUGGAAUGUACACAAUGUAAUUUCUUUUGUCAUUGUAGGAAAUUGACAUUUUGAUGACAGUUCACAAGUAGUGCAUGUUUUGGAUUUAAUUGUUCCGGUGUAAUUUUAAAACACAUUUAUUGAUUAUUUUCUGAUAAUGUACAUUUUUCAGCACCUGUUUGUAACACAGAUUAGUAUUUCAAACUCGGAGCGGACAUUUUAUUGUAGGUUUUUACUGAGAUUUACGGACCUAGCAAGCUAUUUUUACGGCAUUGCCAUUUCUUUUCUCUAGGAAAAGCUUUGAUAGAUAUCUGCACCAAGUUUUUUUAUAAACGUUUAGUACAUGUAUGCCCUGCUGACUGCAAAUUUUGAGGUCGAUUGUACUUGUAGUUUCCGAGAACAUGUGGAUUUUUUUUCAGAAGUGACGUAAGAACAAUAUUAAAUUUCAAUUUUUCUUGAAUAAUUGAGAGUUUGUUCCUUCAAUAAACUGUCAUGAUUAAACAGUCAUACAGAUUGAUUGAUUGAUUGAUUGAUUGAUUAGUUGGUUAGUUGGUUGGUUAAACACGUUGGAUAGGGUCAAUUGAAACACGGAAAAAGAAACAAAGAAGAUCUUGGACCCUAUAUUAAACACAUGAGACGGAAAAAUGAUUGAUUGAUCAUGAUCAUGAUUGAUUGAUUGGUUGAUUGAUUGAUUAAUUGAUUAGUUGGUUGGUUGGUUGGUUAAACACGUUAGAUAGGGUAAAUUGAAACACGGAAAAAGAAACAAAGAAGAUCUUGGACCCUAUAUUAAACACAUGAGACGGAAACAUGAUUGAUUGAUCAUGAUCAUGAUUGAUUGAUUGAUUGAUUGAUUGAUUGAUUGAUUGAUUAGUUGGUUGGUUGGUUGGUUGGUUGGUUAAACACAUUGGAUAGGGUCAAUUGAAACACGGAAAAAGACACAAAGAAGAUCUUGGACCC
rnacentral:lncRNA from 1 species